rnacentral:tRNA from 1 species
GGGCCGGUGGUCUAGCAUGGUAGGACGUUGGCUUUACGAGCCAAAGGUCGCUGGUUCAAGUCCGGCCCGGCCCACCA